CUUUAUAGCAACGUGAAAAGAGACUAAUACAACAAACAAUCUACUUACAAUAGAUCUGAGAAUAAAAUACCUGGGAAUAAAUUUAACCAAGAGGUGAAAGACCUGGACACUGAAAACUACAAAAAAUUGCUGGCAGAAGUUAAAGAGGAACGAAUUAAAUGCUGCUCCUUGACACCCUCCUGAGAUACCAGACAAUAAAAAAUGUAGAUUUUAAAAAGUAACCAUCACCUUAUGCUUUAUAAUAAGCCACAAUUUUGUGCUGUUCUUAUUCUAUUAAAGACAAUCGCUACAAUAUAUAAACAUGGUUAGAAACCAUGCAAGCAAGAAAAGCAUGUGGUGAAAUAUUUAAAGAAUUGAAAGGAAAAAAAAAUCUACCUAGAAGUUUGUACCCAGUGAAAUUAUCCUCCAAAAGUGAAGGAAAAAUAAAGACUUUAUCAGAAAAAAGAAUUGAUGUAGACCUACCUUGCAAAGAAGGAUUACAAGAAGUUCUUCAGAGAGGAGGAAAAUGGUGUAGGUCAGAAACUUGGGUCUGCAUAAGCAACAGGGAGCAUCAGGAAAGAAGUUAGGUUGUCAAUAAAAGAGCCACGAGAGAGAGAGAAGAGAACUUGAAGAGACAAUAAAGGACACAAUUUGCUGCUUUCUGAAUCACUGAUGAAUCUGAGUCAGUUAAGGUAUAAAUGCUUCAAAAAUAAAUAGUAUGAAUGGCAAGAAUGGACUCUUGUUAAGUACUUUCUAAUAGUAGAAUUUGCAUUUAUUAUAAACCUGCAUCGAUGUUGCACUUUUAUCAAAAUUAAAGCCAUUAAG
rnacentral:lncRNA from 1 species